rnacentral:rRNA from 1 species
GACGAACGCUGGCGGCGUGCUUAACACAUGCAAGUCGAACGGAAAGGCCCUGCUUGCAGGGUACUCGAGUGGCGAACGGGUGAGUAACACGUGGGUGAUCUGCCCUGCACUUCGGGAUAAGCUUGGGAAACUGGGUCUAAUACCGGAUAGGAGCCAUCUUUAGUGUGGUGGUUGGAAAGUUUUUUCGGUGUAGGAUGAGCUCGCGGCCUAUCAGCUUGUUGGUGGGGUAAUGGCCUACCAAGGCGGCGACGGGUAGCCGGCCUGAGAGGGUGUACGGCCACAUUGGGACUGAGAUACGGCCCAGACUCCUACGGGAGGCAGCAGUGGGGAAUAUUGCACAAUGGGCGCGAGCCUGAUGCAGCGACGCCGCGUGGGGGAUGAAGGCCUUCGGGUUGUAAACUCCUUUCGCUAGGGACGAAGCUUUUUGUGACGGUACCUAGAUAAGAAGCACCGGCUAACUACGUG